rnacentral:rRNA from 1 species
ACAGCCAGGAUGUUGGCUUAGAAGCAGCCAUCAUUUAAAGAAAGCGUAAUAGCUCACUGGUCGAGUCGGCCUGCGCGGAAGAUGUAACGGGGCUAAACCAUGCACCGAAGCUGCGGCAGCGACGCUUAUGCGUUGUUGGGUAGGGGAGCGUUCUGUAAGCCUGUGAAGGUGUGCUGUGAGGCAUGCUGGAGGUAUCAGAAGUGCGAAUGCUGACAUAAGUAACGAUAAAGCGGGUGAAAAGCCCGCUCGCCGGAAGACCAAGGGUUCCUGUCCAACGUUAAUCGGGGCAGGGUGAGUCGACCCCUAAGGCGAGGCCGAAAGGCGUAGUCGAUGGGAAACAGGUUAAUAUUCCUGUACUUGGUGUUACUGCGAAGGGGGGACGGAGAAGGCUAUGUUGGCCGGGCGACGGUUGUCCCGGUUUAAGCGUGUAGGCUGGUUUUCCAGGCAAAUCCGGAAAAUCAAGGCUGAGGCGUGAUGACGAGGCACUACGGUGCUGAAGCAACAAAUGCCCUGCUUCCAGGAAAAGCCUCUAAGCAUCAGGUAACAUCAAAUCGUACCCCAAACCGACACAGGUGGUCAGGUAGAGAAUACCAAGGCGCUUGAGAGAACUCGGGUGAAGGAACUAGGCAAAAUGGUGCCGUAACUUCGGGAGAAGG